ensembl:lncRNA
CAGGGAUCUUAAUAGAUCAAUAGUGCGCAGAGUUAAAAAGAAAAUAGUACCAUUAGCACGGCCAGUGUAUUAAACUGAUUGUGUAUUAGCUUGCUACAAUGGCGCAGGGUGCUUUGACAUAUUGUUCGACAGACUUAAGAAAACAGCAAUAAUGCACUGCUGUUUGCUUGCUUUUUAAUAAGUGCAUGCCGACUUUAGAGAACACAAUAAAACAGACGUGGAUUAUGUGACGGUGAUAAUUCUAGCUACCCGGUGCUAGCGUAUUAACUCCAUAUGUCUUUGCGGGCUGCUCCUUCUCUCUCUCCCUCCCUCCCACUUCCCAUUCUCUCUUCUCCUUUCCCCCUGAGGCUCAUGUCUCAAACGUGAUCGUUCCCAUCACUCCCUCUGUUUGCAGGCUAAUACUAAGAGUGAAAUAAGAUGAUGAGACUUUUAUGUGCAUGUGUCUGUUUGUGCUUGUUUUGGUAGUUUAAUAUGACUAUUCCUUUUUUGCUCUUAAAGAGGUUCAAUCAUACAUAUAUUAUUACUGCUACAAUAAAAUGGUAUUGGAAGUGGAACAAAACGCCCUUUUAAUGGAAUAAUUUCUGAAACAUUACAACAUUAAACAUUUCUGCAUUUGUUCAGCUUUUAUUGCAUUUGAAUUUGGGUAUAGUGUACAGUAGUGAAAAUGUAACAAAUACAACCCAUUUAUAACAACAUAUACAGUAGGAUUAAAAAAUGAAGCUAAUUAAUUUUAAUAUUAAUACAUUUAAGUAAAUUUGUUUAUAGAUUUUUUUUCUUCUUCUUCUUUUCAUCAGGAGGCUCCAUCCAGAAACCUUCAAGUCAGCAAUGUGAACCAUUUCCAGUACCAUUGUGCUCGGUUCCAUGUCAAGAUCCAGUAAAGUGUCAAGUCUCAUGGGAUGGAAGUGGCUGUGGAAUUGGAAGACCUGCCCUCUCCUGGUAGCCUGUUAGCAAAAUGGCAUGUAUAAUUGACUUUUCAUACAGGUUUUGUAGCCUAUCUUUAUCCCGGCCCUGUUAAAAUUAUCACACAUGAAAUGAAAACUUAAGGAAUGAAGGGGGAGUGGGAAUUGUGCAUAUUUCAGAAGAACUGACUAUGAAUUCAUUGCAUUCUUUCUACAAAUGAAAAUCGCUUAAGUUUUUGAAGGCUUUAAAUAAUUGUUUCUCAGCCUUGAUGACCUAGAUCAAAGGAAUGAAAUUAAUGUUUUAAUGCGAUCAGAACACCAUUAGAAACUGUUAGUAAUAAACAAAAAUAUGUAUGCACAAAAUGUCCAUAACCACAUUGGAAACACAAAAGUUGAAAAAGUUGAAAUCUCUUAUAUAAAGACAUU